GUGCUCGAUUUCCAGCACAAGUACUAAAGUGGGAGCGAUGUAGAGAUUAGCAUGGCCCCUGCUCACAGACAGCACAUAAAUUCAUCAAGUGUUCCAUAUUUAA
rnacentral:snRNA from 1 species